GUGGGGAAUCUUAGACAAUGGGCGCAAGCCUGAUCUAGCCAUGCCGCGUGAGCGAUGAAGGCCUUAGGGUUGUAAAGCUCUUUCAGCUGGGAAGAUAAUGACGGUACCAGCAGAAGAAGCCCCGGCUAACUCCGUGCCAGCAGCCGCGGUAAUACGGAGGGGGCUAGCGUUGUUCGGAAUUACUGGGCGUAAAGCGCACGUAGGCGGACCGGAAAGUCAGAGGUGAAAUCCCAGGGCUCAACCUUGGAACUGCCUUUGAAACUCCUGGUCUUGAGGUCGAGAGAGGUGAGUGGAAUUCCGAGUGUAGAGGUGAAAUUCGUAGAUAUUCGGAGGAACACCAGUGGCGAAGGCGGCUCACUGGCUCGAUACUGACGCUGAGGUGCGAAAGCGUGGGGAGCAAACAGGAUUAGAUACCCUAGUAGUCC
rnacentral:rRNA from 1 species